UUUCCAUUGAGACCUAAUGACUUACUUUUAGGGUUUGAAAAACUUUUGUGUAGUAGUGGUUCUGGUAAAGGUGCACCAGCAAUAAGACAUGGAGAAUUGCCUAUUUCUAUAACUCGGUUCAAAGGAUCGUUCGGGUAAAGGUGCUAAGAGCAAGGGCUCAGCAUUGCCAUCUAGUAAUGGAGAUCGAGGGUUCAUCACCCCAAGAUCGAAAGAUCUCAAUUUGGUCAUUUGCUUACAAAUUUAGGGUUGUUCAAGUCAAGGUCUUCCGAUUUUAUUGGUUAAAGUGAUCAACAAUGCGAUGCUAAAGGUCUCAAAAUCCAUGACUGAAAAUCUUGCUUGUAAGAGCACUUUUUAAUAUCCUCUUGAAGAUCAUAAUGAUGAAGAGGUGUUUUCCAAUACUGGAUCGAAAACUGAUACGAGUAGUGGUGCAAAGGGGGAUGAAGAUGUAUAAUUAAGACCGACACAAGGAAGUUACCAUUCCAGGCCAUCGUGGAGAAGAUAAUUCGUAAGUAUUGGAAAACCCCGUUUAGAGGUCUAAAGCUGAUAAAUUGACCAGAUGCCAAGGUUAAGAGGACGCGUCGUUUUAGAUUUUCAGAAGAGAUUAUUGGAAGGCCAAGGCAGCCCUGCCUCUGUGUGUUGCAGCCCUGCCCCAAGUGGAAGCUGUUGCAAAUGCUGCAACUCUCCCAUCGAGACCCAAGCUUUAAAGCCUUGAUGAGGCCAUCUCCAUUUAAUCCUCCACUAUAAAAUAAGUUGAAUAAGUGGUUUCCCUACUCCACUCUGAUCCCCAUAAGAAUGACUUGCAACUUGAUCAACUUUUUAUUGUAUUCAAGGGUGAAAUAUUGUUGAUUGACUUGGAAGUUCUUUUCACAAAUUUUGUUAUCCAUUUGAGUCA